UCUAUUGCCUCCUGCACAGAAUGACACAUCAGGUUAAUUCUGGAUUAUGCCAGUCACCCUGCCAUUCCACACAGACCUCGCUGCAGGGAGACCAAGGAGGAUCAGAAUACAGAGAAUAAUGUCCGAGUAACGACUGGUGUGGGACGUGAGAAUUUUAAGCACUGAAUACAAGCCUUCACUUUACAUUUGAAGCACUUCAGCAAAAAGCACCCUUCAGCUGGAUCACAUGGGCUAUUUCCUAAGGAGGACAACAACGUUGCAGAGGAUUUCAUCACAUGCUUUAAAGCUCAAACAUUUUGCACAGAACCUGCUGCAGAGCAUCAUAUCCUCUGGCAUUCCUUUACCUACUUCC